AACACAUGCAAGUCGAACGGAAUUACAUGAAGCCUAGCGAUUGUAAAUUUAGUGGCGGACGGGUGAGUAACGCGUGGGUAACCUGCCUUGUACUGGGGGACAACAGUUGGAAACGACUGCUAAUACCGCAUAAGCGCACAGCUUCGCAUGAAGCAGUGUGAAAAACUCCGGUGGUACAAGAUGGACCCGCGUCUGAUUAGCUGGUUGGUGAGGUAACGGCCCACCAAGGCGACGAUCAGUAGCCGGCCUGAGAGGGUGAACGGCCACAUUGGGACUGAGACACGGCCCAAACUCCUACGGGAGGCAGCAGUGGGGAAUAUUGCACAAUGGGGGAAACCCUGAUGCAGCAACGCCGCGUGAGUGAAGAAGUAUUUCGGUAUGUAAAGCUCUAUCAGCAGGAAAGAAAAUGACGGUACCUGACUAAGAAGCCCCGGCUAACUACGUGCCAGCAGCCGCGGUAAUACGUAGGGGGCAAGCGUUAUCCGGAUUUACUGGGUGUAAAGGGAGCGUAGACGGUUUUGCAAGUCUGAAGUGAAAGCCCGGGGCUUAACCCCGGGACUGCUUUGGAAACUGUAGGACUAGAGUGCAGGAGAGGUAAGUGGAAUUCCUAGUGUAGCGGUGAAAUGCGUAGAUAUUAGGAGGAACACCAGUGGCGAAGGCGGCUUACUGGACUGU
rnacentral:rRNA from 1 species